rnacentral:rRNA from 1 species
CCUACGGGAGGCAGCAGUGAGAAAUAUUGGACAAUGGAGGCAACUCUGAUCCAGCCAUGCCGCGUGCAGGAAGACGGCCCUAUGGGUUGUAAACUGCUUUUAUACAGGAAGAAACGUUAGUACGUGUACUAGCCUGACGGUACUGUAAGAAUAAGGAUCGGCUAACUCCGUGCCAGCAGCCGCGGUAAUACGGAGGAUCCAAGCGUUAUCCGGAAUCAUUGGGUUUAAAGGGUCCGUAGGUGGAUAAUUAAGUCAGAGGUGAAAUCCUGCAGCUCAACUGUAGAAUUGCCUUUGAUACUGGUUGUCUUGAGUUAUUGUGAAGUGGUUAGAAUAUGUAGUGUAGCGGUGAAAUGCAUAGAUAUUACAUAGAAUACCAAUUGCGAAGGCAGAUCACUAACAAUACACUGACACUGAUGGACGAAAGCGUGGGUAGCGAACGGGAUUAGAUACCCCGGUAGUCCACGCCGUAAACGAUGGUCACUAGCUGUUCGGAGUAAUCUGAGUGGCUAANCGAAAGUGAUAAGUGACCCACCUGGGGAGUACGUUCGCAAGAAUGAAACUCANAGGAAUUGACGG